rnacentral:rRNA from 1 species
UUAAGUUAAUAAGGGCGCACGGUGGAUGCCUUGGCACUAGAAGCCGAUGAAGGACGUGACUAACGACGAAAUGCUUUGGGGAGCUGUAAGUGAGCAAUGAUCCAGAGAUGUCCGAAUGGGGGAACCCGGCAGGUAAUGCCUGUCACUCAUUACUGUUAAGGUAAUGUAGAGGAAGACGCAGUGAACUGAAACAUCUAAGUAGCUGUAGGAAGAGAAAGCAAAAGCGAUUGCCUUAGUAGCGGCGAGCGAAACGGCAAGAGGGCAAACCGAAGAGUUUACUCUUCGGGGUUGUAGGACUGCAACGUGGACUUAAAGAUUAUAGAAGAACUACCUGGGAAGGUAGGCCAAAGAGAGUAAUAGCCUCGUAUUCGAAAUAGUCUUUAUACCUAGCAGUAUCCUGAGUACGGCGAGACACGAGAAAUCUCGUCGGAAUCUGGGAGGACCAUCUCCCAACCCUAAAUACUCUCUAGUGACCGAUAGUGAACCAGUACCGUGAGGGAAAGGUGAAAAGCACCCCGGGAGGGGAGUGAAAUAGAACCUGAAACCGUGUGCCUACAACAAGUUCGAGCCCGUUAAUGGGUGAGAGCGUGCCUUUUGUAGAAUGAACCGGCGAGUUACGAUAUGAUGCGAGGUUAAGUUGAAGAGACGGAGCCGUAGGGAAACCGAGUCUUAAUAGGGCGCAUUAGUAUCAUGUCGUAGACCCGAAACCAUGUGACCUACCCAUGAGCAGGUUGAAGGUGAGGUAAAACUCACUGGAGGACCGAACCAGGGCACGUUGAAAAGUGCUUGGAUGACUUGUGGGUAGCGGAGAAAUUCCAAACGAACUUGGAGAUAGCUGGUUCUCUCCGAAAUAGCUUUAGGGCUAGCGUCGAUGUUAAGUCUCUUGGAGGUAGAGCACUGUUUGGGUGAGGGGUCCAUCCCGGAUUACCAAUCUCAGAUAAACUCCGAAUGCCAAUGAGAUAUAAUCGGCAGUCAGACUGCGAGUGCUAAGAUCCGUAGUCGAAAGGGAAACAGCCCAGACCACCAGCUAAGGUCCCAAAAUAUAUGUUAAGUGGAAAAGGAUGUGGGGUUGCACAGACAACUAGGAUGUUAGCUUAGAAGCAGCUAUUCAUUCAAAGAGUGCGUAAUAGCUCACUAGUCGAGUGACCCUGCGCCGAAAAUGUACCGGGGCUAAAACAUAUUACCGAAGCUGUGGAUACCUUUAUAGGUAUGGUAGGAGAGCGUUCUAUGUGCGAAGAAGGUGUACCGUGAGGAGUGCUGGAGCGCAUAGAAGUGAGAAUGCCGGUAUGAGUAGCGAAAGACAGGUGAGAAUCCUGUCCACCGUAAGACUAAGGUUUCCAGGGGAAGGCUCGUCCGCCCUGGGUUAGUCGGGACCUAAGGAGAGACCGAAAGGUGUAUCCGAUGGACAACAGGUUGAUAUUCCUGUACUAGAGUAUAUAGUGAUGGAGGGACGCAGUAGGCUAACUAAACCAGACGAUUGGAAGUGUCUGGCCAAGCAGUGAGGUGUGAUAUGAGUCAAAUGCUUAUAUCUUUAACAUUGAGCUGUGAUGGGGAGCGAAGUUUAGUAGCGAAGUUAGUGAUGUCACACUGCCGAGAAAAGCUUCUAGCGUUAAUUAUACUCUACCCGUACCGCAAACCGACACAGGUAGUCGAGGCGAGUAGCCUCAGGUGAGCGAGAGAACUCUCGUUAAGGAACUCGGCAAAAUGGCCCCGUAACUUCGGGAGAAGGGGCGCUGACUGAUGGUCAGCCGCAGUGAAUAGGCCCAAGCAACUGUUUAUCAAAAACACAGCUCUCUGCUAAAUCGUAAGAUGAUGUAUAGGGGGUGACGCCUGCCCGGUGCUGGAAGGUUAAGAGGAGUGCUUAGCGUAAGCGAAGGCAUGAAUUGAAGCCCCAGUAAACGGCGGCCGUAACUAUAACGGUCCUAAGGUAGCGAAAUUCCUUGUCGGGUAAGUUCCGACCCGCACGAAAGGCGUAAUGAUUUGGGCACUGUCUCAACGAGAGACUCGGUGAAAUUUUAGUACCUGUGAAGAUGCAGGUUACCCGCGACAGGACGGAAAGACCCCAUGGAGCUUUACUGCAGUUUGAUAUUGAGUAUCUGUACCACAUGUACAGGAUAGGUAGGAGCCUAUGAAAUCGGGACGCUAGUUUCGGUGGAGGCGUUGUUGGGAUACUACCCUUGUGUUAUGGCUACUCUAACCUAGAUAGGUUAUCCCUAUCGGAGA